rnacentral:rRNA from 1 species
UGAGUACGGCGGAACACGUGAAAUUCCGUCGGAAUCCGGGAGGACCAUCUCCCAAGGCUAAAUACUCCCUAGUGACCGAUAGUGAACCAGUACCGUGAGGGAAAGGUGAAAAGCACCCCGGAAGGGGAGUGAAACAGUUCCUGAAACCGUGUGCCUACAAGUAGUUAGAGCCCGUUAAUGGGUGAUAGCGUGCCUUUUGUAGAAUGAACCGGCGAGUUACGAUUUGUUGCAAGGUUAAGCGGAAAAAGCGGAGCCGUAGCGAAAGCGAGUCUGAAUAGGGCGCAUAAGUAACAGGUCGUAGACCCGAAACCAGGUGAUCUACCCAUGUCCAGGAUGAAGGUAAGGUAAUACUUACUGGAGGUCCGAACCCACGCACGUUGAAAAGUGCGGGGAUGAGGUGUGGGUAGCGGAGAAAUUCCAAUCGAACUUGGAGAUAGCUGGUUCUCUCCGAAAUAGCUUUAGGGCUAGCCUCGAGGUAAAGAGUCAUGGAGGUAGAGCACUGUUUGGACUAGGGGCCCUUCUCGGGUUACCGAAUUCAGAUAAACUCCGAAUGCCAUGUACUUAUACUCGGGAGUCAGACUGCGAGUGAUAAGAUCCGUAGUCGAAAGGGAAACAGCCCAGACCACCAGUUAAGGUCCCCAAAUAUAUGUUAAGUGGAAAAGGAUGUGGGGUUGCUUAGACAACCAGGAUGUUGGCUUAGAAGCAGCCACCAUUGAAAGAGUGCGUAAUAGCUCACUGGUCGAGUGACCCCGCGCCGAAAAUGUACCGGGGCUAAACAUAUUACCGAAACUGUGGAUGAACCUCUUCGGAGGUUCGUGGUAGGAGAGCGUUCUAAGGGCGGUGAAGUCAGACCGGAAGGACUGGUGGAGCGCUUAGAAGUGAGAAUGCCGGUAUGAGUAGCGAAAGAAGGGUGAGAAUCCCUUCCACCGAAUAUCUAAGGUUUCCUGAGGAAGGCUCGUCCGCUCAGGGUUAGUCGGGACCUAAGCCGAGGCCGAUAGGCGUAGGCGAUGGACAACAGGUAGAGAUUCCUGUACCAGUGCUAAUUGUUUAACCGAUGGGGUGACACAGAAGGAUAGGGAAUCGCACGAAUGGAAAUGUGCGUCCAAGCAGUGAGUGUGA